rnacentral:rRNA from 1 species
GACGAACGCUGGCGGCGUGCUUAACACAUGCAAGUCGAACGGGCCUUGUCCCCUUUUUUUUGGGGGUGGGGUUAGUGGCGAACGGGUGAGUAACACGUGAGUAACCUGCCCCUCACUUCUGGAUAACCGCUUGAAAGGGUGGCUAAUACGGGGUGUUCUGGCCUGCUCGCAUGGGUGGGUUUGGAAAGAUUCAACCGGUUUUGGUUGUUUUGGUGGGGGAUGGGCUCGCGGCCUACCAGCUUGUUGGUGGGGUGAUGGCCUGCCAAGGCUUUGACGGGUAGCCGGCCUGAGAGGGUGGGCGGUCACACUGGGACUGAGACACGGCCCAGACUCCUACGGGAGGCAGCAGUGGGGAAUAUUGCACAAUGGGCGCAAGCCUGAUGCAGCGACGCCGCGUGAGGGAUGGAGGCCUUCGGGUUGUGAACCUCUUUCGCCAGUGAAGAAGGUCCUGCUCUUUGUGGUGGGGUUGACGGUAGCUGGGUUAAUGAAGCGCCGGCUAACUACGUG